CAAGCCACCGGGAUCGAUUAAAGUUUGAUCAUGGCUCAGGACGAACGCUGGCGGCGUGCCUAAUACAUGCAAGUCGAGCGGACCGAAGGGAGCUUGCUCCUUUAGGUUAGCGGCGGACGGGUGAGUAACACGUGGGCAACCUGCCCUGCAGACUGGGAUAACUUCGGGAAACCGGAGCUAAUACCGGAUAACACCGAAAACCGCAUGGUUUUCGGUUGAAAGGCGGCUUUUAGCUGUCACUGCAGGAUGGGCCCGCGGCGCAUUAGCUAGUUGGUGAGGUAACGGCUCGCCAAGGCGACGAUGCGUAGCCGACCUGAGAGGGUGACCGGCCACACUGGGACUGAGACACGGCCCAGACUCCUACGGGAGGCAGCAGUAGGGAAUCUUCCGCAAUGGACGAAAGUCUGACGGAGCAACGCCGCGUGAGCGAAGAAGGUCUUCGGAUCGUAAAAGCUCUGUUGUCAGGGAAGAACAAGUACCGUUCGAACAGGGCGGUACCUUGACGGUACCUGACGAGGAAGCCACGGCUAACUACGUGCCAGCAAGCCGCGGGUAAUACGUAAGUGGCAAGCGUUGUCCGGAANUAUUUGGGCGUAAAGCGCGCCCAGGCGGUUCCUUAAAUCUGAUGUGAAAUCUCCCGGCUCAACCGCGAGCGGCCUUGGAAAACUGGGGAACUUGAUUGCAGAAAGGGAGCGGAAUUCCCCUUGUACGGUUGAAUGGCU
rnacentral:rRNA from 1 species